GACGAACGCUGGCGGCGUGCCUAAUACAUGCAAGUUGAGCGCUGAAGGUUGGUACUUGUACCGACUGGAUGAGCAGCGAACGGGUGAGUAACGCGUGGGGAAUCUGCCUUUGAGCGGGGGACAACAUUUGGAAACGAAUGCUAAUACCGCAUAAAAACUUUAAACACAAGUUUUAAGUUUGAAAGAUGCAAUUGCAUCACUCAAAGAUGAUCCCGCGUUGUAUUAGCUAGUUGGUGAGGUAAAGGCUCACCAAGGCGAUGAUACAUAGCCGACCUGAGAGGGUGAUCGGCCACAUUGGGACUGAGACACGGCUCAAAAUCCUACGGGAGGCAGCAGUAGGGAAUCUUCGGCAAUGGACGAAAGUCUGACCGAGCAACGCCGCGUGAGUGAAGAAGGUUUUCGGAUCGUAAAACUCUGUUGGUAGAGAAGAACGUUGGUGAGAGUGGAAAGCUCAUCAAGUGACGGUAACUACCCAGAAAGGGGCGGCUAACUACGUG
rnacentral:rRNA from 1 species